AUGUGUGAAAACCGCUGCUCAAUUGUCUCAUGGGAUGUUAGAGGUCUCAACAUGCCGGCAAAACGUCUAGCUGUCCACGAAGCAAUCGCAGUCUGGAAACCUGCAAUCGUAUGCUUGCAGGAGACCAAGAUCAGUGCCUGGGACCCUGCCACCACCAGAGAUAUUGGUGGAUCCUUGCUUGAUCAAGCCUUCCACAUACCUGUUGCAGGCACCAGGGGCGGCAUUAGCCUCUUCUGGAACAACGCCCUUGUGCACGCAUCUGACCUGAUAGCCAUGCAAUUCAACCUUACUGGAAACAUUAGAUUGCUGACCUCCCACUCGCAUUUCUGCCUGACCAUGGUCUAUGGACCAGUAGAUGAUAGCCUCAAGGACAGCUUCUUAGCUGAGAUGUGCGGCUCUGCACCACCACUAGGCCACCCAUGGAUUGUGCUCGGAGACUUCAACCAAAUAUAUGAAGCCAGGGACAAAAAUAACCUCAACCUCAAUCAUAGGCUCAUGGGUAAAUUCUGAAAUGCCAUCAACUAUGCUGAACCUUUUGAGAUUAGAUGCAAAAACAGAAAAUUCACCUGGAGCAACGAGCAGUAG
rnacentral:rRNA from 1 species